GACGAACGCUGGCGGCGUGCUUAACACAUGCAAGUCGAACGGAAAGGCCCUGCUUUUGUGGGGUGCUCGAUUGGCGAACGGGUGAGUAACACGUGAGUAACCUGCCCUUGACUUUGGGAUAACUUCAGGAAACUGGGGCUAAUACCGGAUAGGAGCUCCUGCUGCAUGGUGGUGGUUGGAAAGUUUCGGCGGUUGGGGAUGGACUCGCGGCUUAUCAGCUUGUUGGUGGGGUAGUGGCUUACCAAGGCUUUGACGGGUAGCCGGCCUGGGAGGGUGACCGGCGACAUGGGGACUGAGAUACGGCCCAGACUCCUACGGGAGGCAGCAGUGGGGAAUAUUGCACAAUGGGCGGAAGCCUGAUGCAGCAACGCCGCGUGCGGGAUGACGGCCUUCGGGUUGUAAACCGCUUUCGCCUGUGACGAAGCGUGAGUGACGGUAAUGGGUAAAGAAGCACCGGCUAACUACGUG
rnacentral:rRNA from 1 species